rnacentral:rRNA from 1 species
GAGUUUGAUCAUGGCUCAGAUUGAACGCUGGCGGCAUGCCUUACACAUGCAAGUCGAACGGCAGCAUGAUCUAGCUUGCUAGAUUGAUGGCGAGUGGCGAACGGGUGAGUAAUACAUCGGAACGUGCCCUGUAGUGGGGGAUAACUAGUCGAAAGAUUAGCUAAUACCGCAUACGACCUGAGGGUGAAAGUGGGGGACCGCAAGGCCUCAUGCUAUAGGAGCGGCCGAUGUCUGAUUAGCUAGUUGGUGGGGUAAAGGGCCCACCAAGGCGACGAUCAGUAGCUGGUCUGAGAGGACGAUCAGCCACACUGGGACUGAGACACGGCCCAGACUCCUACGGGAGGCAGCAGUGGGGAAUUUUGGACAAUGGGCGAAAGCCUGAUCCAGCAAUGCCGCGUGUGUGAAGAAGGCCU